rnacentral:sRNA from 1 species
GGCUACAGAAAUAUUA